rnacentral:rRNA from 1 species
GACAAACGCUGGCGGCGUGCCUAACACAUGCAAGUCGAGCGCGGAGGGGACUUCGGUCCCCCGUAAAGCGGCGAACGGGUGAGUAACACGUGAGUAAUCUGCCCUGCACUUGGGGAUAACCCCCGGAAACGGUGGCUAAUACCCGAUACGACACCCUUCCGCAUGGGAUGGGUGUGGAAAGUUUUUUAGGUGCAGGCUGUGCUCGCGGCCUAUCAGCUUGUUGGUGUGGUGAUGGCCUACCAAGGCUUCGACGGGUAGCCGGCCUGAGAGGGUGACCGGCCACACUGGGACUGAGACACGGCCCAGACUCCUACGGGAGGCAGCAGUGGGGAAUAUUGGGCAAUGGGCGGAAGCCUGAUCCAGCAACGCCGCGUGAGGGAUGACGGCCUUCGGGUUGUAAACCUCUUUCAGCGGGGACGAAGCGCAAGUGACGGUAACCGCAGAAGAAGCACCGGCCAACUACGUGCCAGCCGCCGCUGUAACAC